rnacentral:rRNA from 1 species
AUUGAACGCUGGCGGCAGGCCUAACACAUGCAAGUCGAGCGAAGCGGGGACGGGUGAGUAACACGUGGAUAACCUCCUAUAAGACUGGGAUAACUUCGGGAAACCGGAGCUAAACCGGAUACUAAUCGAUUGAUGCGCGCUGCAUUAGUUAGUUGGUAAGGUAACGGCUUACCAAGGCAACGAUGGAUAGCCGAGCUGAGAGGGUGAUCGGCCACACGGGAACUGAGACACGGUCCAGACUCCUACGGGAGGCAGCAGUAGGGAAUAUUCCGCAAUGGGCGAAAGCCUGACGGAGCAACGCCGCGUGAGUGAUGAAGGUCUUCGGAUCGUAAAGCUCUGUUAUUAGGGAAGCGGUACCUAAUCAGAAAGCCACGGCUAACUACGUGCCAGCAGCCGCGGUAAUAC